AUGAACGCUAGCGGGAGGCCUAACACAUGCAAGCCGAGCGGUAGAGAUUCUUCGGGAUCUUGAGAGCGGCGUACGGGUGCGGAACACGUGUGCAACCUGCCUUUAUCUGGGGGAUAGCCUUUCGAAAGGAAGAUUAAUACCCCAUAAUAUAAGAGACGGCAUCGCUUUUUAUUGAAAACUCCGGUGGAUAGAGAUGGGCACGCGCAAGAUUAGAUAGUUGGUGAGGUAACGGCUCACCAAGUCUACGAUCUUUAGGGGGCCUGAGAGGGUGAUCCCCCACACUGGUACUGAGACACGGACCAGAAUCCUACGGGAGGCAGCAGUGAGGAAUAUUGGACAAUGGGUGAGAGCCUGAUCCAGCCAUCCCGCGUGAAGGACGACGGCCCUAUGGGUUGUAAACUUCUUUUGUAUAGGGAUAAACCUACCCUCGUGAGGGUAGCUGAAGGUACUAUACGAAUAAGCACCGGCUAACUCCGUGCCAGCCGCCGCAGUAACAC
rnacentral:rRNA from 1 species